UGUUUUCUGUUGAUUGGAGUCCAGAUGGAGAGAAGGUAGCUUCUGGUGGUAAGGAUAAAGUGUUGAAGUUGUGGAUGGGAUAGGCUAUUAUUGCAUCAACAUUGAGAAUCUAUUCUAUAGUUUUGGUGUAUGUAACUCCCAUGAUGUUCCCAUGAUGUUCCCAUGAUGUUGCCACUGCAUGGAAAUCAAUGGCUCACUAUUGUGUCGAUACAAAAUCGUCUUUAAAUUAUGAGCUAUGAAUGAAUGUCUAUUCCACACACUACAUACCACUGAGAUUAGGCACCGGAAGAACAUGUUACUCA
rnacentral:lncRNA from 1 species